rnacentral:rRNA from 1 species
UACGAAGGGUGCAAGCGUUACUCGGAAUUACUGGGCGUAAAGCGUGCGUAGGCGGUGAGUUAAGUCUGUCGUGAAAUCCCCGGGCUCAACCUGGGAAUGGCGAUGGAUACUGGCUCGCUAGAGUGUGAUAGAGGAUGGUGGAAUUCCCGGUGUAGCGGUGAAAUGCGUAGAGAUCGGGAGGAACAUCAGUGGCGAAGGCGGCCAUCUGGAUCAACACUGACGCUGAGGCACGAAAGCGUGGGGAGCAAACAGG